UAGCUCAACUGGUAGAGUGUGGCAUUAAUGUUGCAUGGGUUAAGGGUUCAAUUCCCACAGGGACCA